rnacentral:ncRNA from 18 species
UCGGGAAGCCGGUCUGAAUCCGGCGCUGCCCCCGCAACGGUAGGCCAGCAAAACCUUCCAGUUCAGCCACUGUGCCCCCGGGCAUGGGAAGGCGGAAGGCCGGCACGACGCCCGUCAUGCCACUGGCAAGCCCGGAGACCG